AUUGAACGCUGGCGGCAUGCCUUACACAUGCAAGUCGAACGGUAACGGGCCUUCGGGUGCCGACGAGUGGCGAACGGGUGAGUAAUACAUCGGAACGUGCCCGAUCGUGGGGGAUAACGAGGCGAAAGCUUUGCUAAUACCGCAUACGAUCUACGGAUGAAAGCAGGGGACCGCAAGGCCUUGCGCGGACGGAGCGGCCGAUGGCAGAUUAGGUAGUUGGUGGGAUAAAAGCUUACCAAGCCGACGAUCUGUAGCUGGUCUGAGAGGAUGAUCAGCCACACUGGGACUGAGACACGGCCCAGACUCCUACGGGAGGCAGCAGUGGGGAAUUUUGGACAAUGGGCGCAAGCCUGAUCCAGCCAUGCCGCGUGCAGGAUGAAGGCCUUCGGGUUGUAUACUGCUUUUGUACGGAACGAAAAGCCUUCUUUUAAUACAGGAGGGUCAUGACGGUACCGGAAGAAUAAGCACCGGCUAACUACGUG
rnacentral:rRNA from 1 species